AGCGAACGCUGGCGGCAGGCCUAACACAUGCAAGUCGAACGGCCGUAGCAAUACGGCAGUGGCAGACGGGUGAGUAACACGUGGGAAUGUACCUUUCGGCUCGGAAUAACUCAGGGAAACUUGGGCUAAAACCGGAUACGCCCUUACGGGGAAAGAUUUAUCACCGAAAGAUCAGCCCGCGUCCGAUUAGCUAGUUGGUGAGGUAACGGCUCACCAAGGCGACGAUCGGUAGCUGGUCUGAGAGGAUGAUCAGCCACACUGGGACUGAGACACGGCCCAGACUCCUACGGGUGGCUG
rnacentral:rRNA from 1 species